rnacentral:rRNA from 1 species
GCAGUAGAGAAUCUUGUGCAAUAAACGAAAGUAUGACACAGAGAGGACACAUUUAAUUGAGCCCGUCAAAUUAAGUGCCAGCCGACGCGGUUAAACUUAAGGGCUGGUCUUUAUAAGUAAAAAGGCGUAAAGGAUGUGUAGGCCAAGAAACGAUCCAAGUAGGUAAAUGGAAUUUUUCUGGAGCGGUAGAAUGUGAGGAUAGAAAAUAGAACCCCUAAGGUAAAAACUAUUUACUACAAGGUAGGCUGAAACAUGAGAGUGUGGGGAGCAAACAGGAUUAGAGACCCUGGUAGUCCACACUGUGAACUUUGAAGAUGAUGCUUAGCAGACCCGAAAGGUAAAAUCUUCCGCCUGAGUAGUACGAUCGCAAGAUUAAAAUUCAAAAACUUUGGCUGUUCACUAUUUCGAUUAGAGGAGCGUGUAGUUUAAUUCGAUGGUCCGCGUGUUACCUUACCCCAACUUGAAUCUGUGACCGGUAUUGCAUGGCCGUCGUAAGUUCGUGUAUUAAGCUAGAAGGGACCCAACCCGGGCACUUGCCCGGAGGAAGUCAGGUCUUAUGAUCCGAAUGUUGGGGGAUUUUAUGCGCUACAUUUUCUUAUAUAAUGAGAAACCUGGAAGGUGAAUCUCUAAAGUAAGAGUUCGGAAGGUCGCUGUAAGACGACUGGAAGUUGGAUUUAAUAGUAAUCGGAAAGUAGGGCGUUCCGGUGAAUUGGUACAAGUGUUAGCACAAAUUGCCCGUCACCUUUACUUAGAAGGUUAUUCGGAUGUCUUCGGGAUUAUGAAUGCCUACG